rnacentral:rRNA from 1 species
UUUAUGGAGAGUUUGAUCCUGGCUCAGAGUGAACGCUGGCGGCGUGCCUAAUACAUGCAAGUCGAACGAUGAAGCUUCUAGCUUGCUAGAAUGCUGAUUAGUGGCGCACGGGUGAGUAGUGCAUAGGUCAUGUGCCUCUUAGUUUGGGAUAGCCAUUGGAAACGAUGAUUAAUACCAGAUACUCCCUACGGGGGAAAGAUUUAUCGCUAAGAGAUCAGCCUAUGUCCUAUCAGCUUGUUGGUAAGGUAAUGGCUUACCAAGGCUAUGACGGGUAUCCGGCCUGAGAGGGUGAACGGACACACUGGAACUGAGACACGGUCCAGACUCCUACGGGAGGCAGCAGUAGGGAAUAUUGCUCAAUGGGGGAAACCCUGAAGCAGCAACGCCGCGUGGAGGAUGAAGGUUUUAGGAUUGUAAACUCCUUUUGUUAGAGAAGAUAAUGACGGUAUCUAACGAAUAAGCACCGGCUAACUCCGUGCCAGCAGCCGCGGUAAUACGGAGGGUGCAAGCGUUACUCGGAAUCACUGGGCGUAAAGAGCGCGUAGGCGGGAUAGUCAGUCAGGUGUGAAAUCCUAUGGCUUAACCAUAGAACUGCAUUUGAAACUACUAUUCUAGAGUGUGGGAGAGGUAGGUGGAAUUCUUGGUGUAGGGGUAAAAUCCGUAGAGAUCAAGAGGAAUACUCAUUGCGAAGGCGACCUGCUGGAACAUUACUGACGCUGAUUGCGCGAAAGCGUGGGGAGCAAACAGGAUUAGAUACCCUGGUAGUCCACGCCCUAAACGAUGGAUGCUAGUUGUUGGAGGGCUUAGUCUCUCCAGUAAUGCAGCUAACGCAUUAAGCAUCCCGCCUGGGGAGUACGGUCGCAAGAUUAAAACUCAAAGGAAUAGACGGGGACCCGCACAAGCGGUGGAGCAUGUGGUUUAAUUCGAAGAUACACGAAGAACCUUACCUAGGCUUGACAUUGAGAGAAUCCGCUAGAAAUAGUGGAGUGUCUAGCUUGCUAGACCUUGAAAACAGGUGCUGCACGGCUGUCGUCAGCUCGUGUCGUGAGAUGUUGGGUUAAGUCCCGCAACGAGCGCAACCCCCUUUCUUAGUUGCUAACAGGUCAUGCUGAGAACUCUAAGGAUACUGCCUCCGUAAGGAGGAGGAAGGUGGGGACGACGUCAAGUCAUCAUGGCCCUUACGCCUAGGGCUACACACGUGCUACAAUGGGGUGCACAAAGAGAAGCAAUACUGCGAAGUGGAGCCAAUCUUCAAAACGCCUCUCAGUUCGGAUUGUAGGCUGCAACUCGCCUGCAUGAAGCUGGAAUCGCUAGUAAUCGCAAAUCAGCCAUGUUGCGGUGAAUACGUUCCCGGGUCUUGUACUCACCGCCCGUCACACCAUGGGAGUUGUGUUUGCCUUAAGUCAGGAUGCUAAAUUGGCUACUGCCCACGGCACACACAGCGACUGGGGUGAAGUCGUAACAAGGUAACCGUAGGUGAACCUGCGGUUGGAUCACCUCCUUUCUAGA